rnacentral:rRNA from 1 species
GACGAACCGUGCGAACGUUGUUCGGAAUCACUGGGCUUAAAGGGCGCGUAGGCGGGCUAUCAAGUCCGGGGUGAAAUCCUCCAGCUCAACUGGAGAACGGCCUCGGAUACUGAUGGUCUCGAGGAGGAUAGGGGCACACGGAACUGUGGGUGAAGCGGUGAAAUGCGUUGAUAUCCAUAGGAACUCCGGUGGCGAAAGCGGUGUGCUGGAUCCUUUCUGACGCUGAUGCGCGAAAGCCAGGGGAGCAAACGGG